AAAAUCUUCUGUCAGCUGACUCGGUAGUUCGGGAGACGUAGAUCCGCCAUUUUAUCCAACCAGAUGGAUCCUCGUCUCAGUGUCCAGGACGCAGUACGGUGAAUACAUAACAAAACGAAAAUCAGGACAAUUAGGUUUUUCCAGUUAUGAUAUGUUACUGUCCCAGGUGUAAAAAAUUCUUUACAGAAUUUUAUUACUGGUUUUAUCGAGGUGGAGAGAUAACAUGUUUACUUAAAACAUAAUAUCAGUAGAAGAAAUUUAUUAACAGAAAGAAUUCAAUUUACAUUAUAUAUGUAAUUUCCUCUGUCAGCUGACUUGGUAGUCGGGGUGACCAGGAUCCGCCAUUUUAUUCAACAAGAUGGAUCCUCGUCUCAGUGCCCAGGACGUGGUACGGUGUGACCUUUGUGAGGAUCACCUUGUACAGAAUUAUUGUGACUUCUGUCAUGUCAAACUAUGCAAGCUAUGUAUAGGAGAACACAUCUCAGAUGAAUAUGACAAACAUAAAAUUGUCCCAUUCCAGCAACGAGAAUCCACCCUGAUUUUUCCAAUUUGUAAAAAACAUUCCAAAGAAACAUGCAAACUGCAAUGCAUGUCGUGUAACAAUUAUAUUUGCGCCAAAUGCUUGAUAUUAAAAGAACACAAAGGUCAUAAUGUAGUAGACUUAGAAGACAGCUACAAUUCGAAGAAAGAAAACAUUAAAAAAGAUACAGCAGAAAUAGAAAAUGUUAUUUCUCCAACAUAUGAAGAAAUAAGGAAAGCUUUGGAGAGCCAGAUUACCAGCCUAGAUGGAGAGUAUGAAAAAAUUGCCACAAUAGUGUCCAAACAAGGAGAGGAAUGGCAUAAAGAAAUUGAUAGAGCUAUCGGACAAAUGAGGAACGAAAUAAACGAGAUCAAACUAAGCCAUCGGGACAUCUUGAUGAAGCAUUUAAAAGAGAUAAAACAGAUAGAGUUCAUGAUAAAAGAAAACUUAUCAACUUUGAAGGACCUACAGAGGGAAUCCAAUGUUGUGUCUACAAUCAUAGAAUACAGUUCAAGAAACAACCAAUUUGGUAAACUUCCUCCAAAAAUUCAUGUGACAGUGCCUACAUUUUGUCCGAAGCCAGUUUAUAGAAUAGAAGCUGAAAAAUUGAUUGGAUCCAUCAAACCUCUAACCUCUACCACAGAUGAAAAUGGCUACACGUUGAAGAAACAAAAGGGGUCAUCCAGAGAAGUUUUGGAUACACCAGUGGUCAUCAACACGUUAAACACUGGGUAUGCCAAUCUCAGAAGUGUUUUCUUUUACAGCGAACAAGAAAUAUGGACGCAUGCUGAAGUUAGCGAAAUAAAAUGCUUCAACAUUAAUGGAAACGUUAUCAAUGCAAUUAAAACAAAGUCUGGAAAAGAUCCUAGUGAUACAGCAGUAACAAGUGAUGGUUGUUUACUGUUUAUUGAUUGUGAAUUGCGCACUGUAAAUAAGGUAGUGAAUGGUCAGAUAGAAGAAAUAAUCACUCUACAGGGAUGAAUACCCUGUAAUCUUUGUGUGACGUCCUCCGGUGAUCUUCUGCUAGUAAUGUGUGAUGAUGACAAAACUUAUUGCAAAGUUGUUCGAUACUCAGGCUCAGUUGUGAAACAAACAAUUUUUUAUGACAAAAAUGGUAAACCUUUUUACUCAGGAGUUUUCAAAGUAAAAUACAUUGCAGAAAAUAGCAACCUAGAUAUAUGCAUGGCUGACCGUGCAGCCGGUGCAGUGGUAGUUGUUAGUCAGGCUGGGAAACUCCGAUUCCGUUACACCGGUCAUCCAUCUGAGGAGAAUCCGUUUCUUCCUCGUGGCAUCACAACAAACAGUCAGAGUCAGAUAUUGGUAGCAGAUUGUGGCAAUCUCUGUAUCCACAUUCUGGGUCAGGAUGGCCAGUUCUUGCGUUUUAUUAAUGACAUAAUUAAUGAACCUUGUGGACUGUCUGUUGACACACUUGAUAACUUAUUCGUCGCCGAGUACAAAACUGGAGAUGUUAAGGUCAUCAAAUAUCUUCAGUGAACGAUCAUGUGUUAAAAGUUUGUACGCUGUGUUACCUUAAUUUAUUGAAAUGACUUCAAUGUGUUUUAUGUUCUUUAGUCAUAUUUGAUGUAAGUUAUUUUUACUCUAUGCGUGUACUAGUACUUACUGUAAUAUAUUAAGAGAUGAUGCUACUUUAUUUUCAGAGUUUUGAAGUGAUCCAUGUUUUAAUUUCUGUACAAAUUCAUAUUAGACGCAUUAUUUUUAAAUGCAUGUAAAAGUGUCAUUUGAUGUGUAACACCUGUUUUAUGAGAAAUAUGUAGGCACACUUUUUUACAUAAUGAAAAAAAUAUUUAUGGUAUAAUUAUAUCAUUGUUGCUGUAUAUAUAAAACAAACAACAAAUUCAAAUUAUGUAAAAAAAAAUUCUUAACUUAUUUAUUGUGAACAUUCAUAAUUCAGAUUUUAAAUGGAAAAUAAAACGAAUGUAUACGUAC
rnacentral:sRNA from 1 species